rnacentral:rRNA from 1 species
AGUGGGGAAUAUUGGACAAUGGGCGCAAGCCUGAUCCAGCCAUGCCGCGUGAGUGAUGAAGGCCUUCGGGUUGUAAAGCUCUUUCACCCACGACGAUGAUGACGGUAGUGGGAGAAGAAGCCCCGGCUAACUUCGUGCCAGCAGCCGCGGUAAUACGAAGGGGGCAAGCGUUGUUCGGAAUGACUGGGCGUAAAGGGCGCGUAGGCGGUUCGUUGCGUCAGAUGUGAAAGCCCCGGGCUCAACCUGGGAACUGCAUUUGAUACGGGCGGGCUUGAAUCCAAGAGAGGGUGGUGGAAUUCCCAGUGUAGAGGUGAAAUUCGUAGAUAUUGGGAAGAACACCAGUGGCGAAGGCGGCCACCUGGCUUGGUAUUGACGCUGAGGCGCGAAAGCGUGGGGAGCAAA